GGGAGUGUAGCUCAGUGGUAGAGUACUUAUCUAACACGUGUGAAAUCUUGGCUUCCAUAACCAACAAUGCCA
rnacentral:tRNA from 1 species